GCAACCUAUGCCAAACACAACAAAAACAGACGAACAACAACAAAAAAACAGCGAAAGACGAAGAACAAUUGUUGUCGUGUGCAGCACUUACUAGUAUAUUGCAUCGGUGGAUGAACGUAAUUUAAAAGUCUUUCCUGCGUACUGAAAACUAACCAUGGAUACUGGAGGCGGAUAGAACUAAGCAUGGACACUCGUAAAACCAACCCUGGAUGUUGAUAGAAACAACCAUGGAUGCUGAUAGAACCUACUGUAGAAGCCGAUAUAACCAACAAUUGACAAUAUCAUAACUUACCAUGGGCAGUGAAAGAAUUGAAGAAUUGACCAAAAGCAGUAAGGAAUGCAGGAACUGGUUCAAGCAUUUUCCUCAGGAUCUCCUACAUCUCUCAUAGAGGGACACGCAAAAAGCCAGAUCAUAUUCCUGAGGACCUUUACAUCUCUACAAGGAGGGACACACAAACAGACACAUCAUAUUCCUGGGGACCUUUACAUAUCUACAAGGAGGGACACACAAACAGACACAUCAUAUUCCUGAGGACCUUUACAUCUCAACACAAAGGGUCACACAAACAGCCACAUCAUAUUCCUGAGGACCUUUACAUCUUAACAUAAAGGGUCACACAAACAGCCACAUCAUGUUCCUGAGGACCUUUACAUCUCUACAAGGAGGGACACACAAACAGACACAUCAUAUUCCUGAGGACCUUAACAUUUCAACAUAGAGGGACACACAAACAGCCACAUCAUGUUCCUGAGGACCUUUACAUCUCUACAAGGAGGGACACACAAACAGACACAUCAUAUUCCUGAGGACCUUUACAUCUCUACAAGGAGGGACACACAAACAGACACAUCAUAUUCCUGAGGACCUUUACUUCUAAACCUAAAGGGUCACACCAACAGCCACAUCAUACUCCUGAGAACCUUUAAAACUCAAAAUAGAGGGACACACAAACAGCCACAUCAUAUUCCUGAGGAUCUUAACAUAUCUACAUAGAAGGUCCCACAAACAGCCACAUCAUAUUCCUGGGGAUCUUUACAUCUCUACAAGGAGGGACACACAAACAGCCAUAUCAUAUUCCUGAGGAUAUUUACAUCUCAACAUAGAGGGACACACAAACAGCCACAUCAAAUUCCUGAGGACCUUUACAUCUCAACGUAGAGGGACACACAAACAGCCACAUCAUAUUCCUGAGGACCUUUACAACUCAAAAUAGAGGGACACACAAACAGCCACAUCAUAUUCCCGAGGACCUUUACAUCUCAACAUAGAGGGACACACAAACAGCCACAUCAUAUUCCUGAAGACCUUUACACUUCAACAUAGAGGGACACACAAACAACCACAUCAUAUUCCUGAGGACCUUUACAUCUCAACAUAGAGGGACACACAAACAGCCACAUCAUAUUCCUUAGGACCUUUACAACUCAAAAUAGAGGGACACACAAACAGCUACAUCAUAUUCCUGAGGACCUUCCAGCAAAUUGAGUUAUUGUCCUGUGUUACGUUUCUUGUUCAGAUCCAUUUUUGAAAACUACAGGAUGUAAUUCAACUCCACACGAUAAUUAAGCACAAUGAGAAUAAGAAGAGUGUACAAGAUACUGUUGAAGCUAAUAACAGAUCGUUUUCCCUUUGUAACUUUUUCAUAACCAGCUGGCUCCGAUUUCUCGAAACUACUUUAGCUUUACAGGCUUAAGUAGCUUAUUUCAAAAUGCCAAAAUAUAUACUUAACUAGAU